UCCAUUUAUUGUCUGAGGUUGAAGUGA
rnacentral:sRNA from 1 species